rnacentral:lncRNA from 1 species
CGCUCCUUCUGCGUGGAAAGUACAAUUUGUGCAUGUGUAAACUCCAGGUCUCCUAAAGGCAGAUUUUUCUUUUUUCCGUAAAAUUUCAUUCCCUUCCUUGCGUUCUUUUAACCUUGAAAGGUUUUGCAGUGGGUUGCUCGCUCUGAAAACGACUCUCUUUGCUCUCUAACGCACGUAAUGCAAACUGUUCUAGCAGCCCUGCGUUUUGUAAGUGGUGCGGCCCCUGACAAGGAGCUAUGCGAGGAGGCUGAUGUUUUCUGGAGGGAGUCGCAGAAGCCACCGCACCACGGCUUUGCGCUGCUCUUCAGGGGCAGCUCCAAGCGCGGCCCCAGCGGGCACCGGCACGGCCCUCCGGCGCCAGUCCCCCCAGGACGGACGUCCGCCUCUAGUUUUCAGCCUGGACUUUUAUAGCCAAUUCCCAACCCCGAAAGGCUGCUGCAAACAUCUGCUAAUGUUUGCCUGACGUAGACAGAAGCCAUGGAGGUCUGCAAAUUCAUUUCAGAUCAUCAGAUGUCCUAUAAAGGUCCAAAGUACUUAUCAUUCAAUGACUUUGCAAGAGCAUUUCAAACAUGCUGCACAAUUAACAGGGAUUUUGAAGGCAGGAGAACUAGCAAGAAGAUCUGUCUCCUGCGCUGAUGUCAGUAGCGGUGUGCAGAAGAGUCCCAAGAUCUAUGGGAAUAUUCUUGUAAAACCAUCUCUGAAGCUUGCAAAAGAAUGUGUGGGGUCACGUUCAGCUCAUGCAUCCAGAGGAGCAAACAGGCUGCGUUUCCUCGGAGGCAGGUAAAAGGCACCGGCUCUGUGCAGUGUAUUGGCCUGGCAUGGGCCUGGCCCUACUUUCUGCUCUGCGAUCUGCCAAAUGCAACAGGGCUACAA